rnacentral:sRNA from 1 species
UGAAGUACUAAAUACAUUGUCAGUUACAAUUAAAUCAGAGUGGUUUGACAAGGAUUUUUUAAAUUCAGUGGCAAGUGAUACAACUAUAGUAUUUUUAAUUGUGCUGUGUGUUUUAGGUAUUUGUGAAGUGUCAUUUUGAUUAUAAUCCAUACAAUGACAACCUAAUACCUUGCAAAGAAGCAGGAUUGAAGUUUUCCAAAGGAGAAAUUCUUCAGAUUGUAAAUAGAGAAGAUCCAAAUUGGUGGCAGGCUAGCCAUGUAAAAGAGGGAGGAAGCGCUGGUCUCAUUCCAAGCCAGUUCCUGGAAGAGAAGAGAAAGGCAUUUGUUAGAAGAGACUGGGACAAUUCAGGACCUUUUUGUGGAACUAUAAGUAGC